UCUCCAUUUCUACUCCUGGGUGCUUCGGAAU
rnacentral:piRNA from 1 species